UUAAAAUACUUACAUUAACAAAUGUUAGCUGAACGCUUUUAGAAGGAAAUAUUUCUGCAAAGGACACCAAAUCAUGACUGCAGCUAAAGCAGGAUGAUUUGGCUUAACAGAGUCUCAUUCCCUUUUCCUGGCAGGGUGUGUGCUGAUGGCUAUAAUUUAAUUCUGGAGCCAAAUCAAGGCAACUCAUCACGAUACAUCUGCUGAGUUUUGAGUAUGCAUGGAGCAGGCAUGUGUGUUUUCCUGAAAGCUUUUCCUAGAAGCUAAAUGCACUGCGAAGAUUUAUACAUCUGUUGUGUCAUCUUUUGACACGGCCGAUGAAAGCCAAGGCAUAGCCCCAUGCAGGAAUUUUGGUUGGGGGAUAGGUACUGGCAGAAAGGAAGAGAAAAUAUUGAGAACUUCCAUGGCAAAUUAUGAAGCAAUAUUUGGCAGAUAGCAAUUUCCAGUCACAAAUAUAUUUGUCUUUAAAAUGGCUUGAAGAUUGUUCUUUUUCUCUACUGACUAACUGCAUUCUUUGUAUAAUGAAAAUAGUGGAUGAAUGAGUGGCAUGUGUGAGUUCGUGAAUCUUUUGAUGUCAACCAACAAUGCAGAUAUGCAAGUAUUUCCUUUUAUUUGGGGUGUUUGUUGAGGGUUUUUUUGAUUAUUUGUGAUGAUAACAUCAGUUUGGAACUGACCUAGACAACAGCAAGAGAAGGACAUUAUAAUGUCCAGCCUAUCAUUACCUGCUGAUUGCUUUUCUCCACAAUGAGGAAGCUCAUUAAAACAUCAGCUUCAGGCUAUCUCAGCAGGAAUUAGGAAUGGUAAUUAGACACAGCCAUGUGUUUUCAGUUUAAAGAAUUCAAUAUUUGAAAAUGUAGGGUCACAAAACGAGGCGAAGGCAACCAUUUCUAAAAACGCAAUGUCCUACAGAGGAAGGAAGUCACACCUGUUACCAAGUCCAGCCGUGAUGCCCUGGAGAAGUUAUGCUUUGUGGAAGCUGUGUGAGGAGGACCUGCUGAAUACACAAUUUCCUCCAAGAUUAAGUACACCUUUUCCUGUGGAUCUGAAGCAGAGAACAUGCAGUGAAGAAAAGGCAAGUCUCUAAUUUCAUGUUGAAAUGUCAAGCUACUCUGGAGCUGGGCUUUUUUCUUUGCUUUCCUGUUCUCACAUACUUUGUUCACUUCACAUUUUUCCUUCUUAGGAAAGCAGGUGAGUCCCCAGAAGUGUGUGUAGACUUUUUAGUUCCAUUUUGGACCACUGCAGUCAUUUGAAACAUCAGUGGACUUAAAGAACCAUCUUCUUCAACCACGAGUCAAAUGUCAGCUACACAAAUAAGAAAU
rnacentral:lncRNA from 1 species